UGAAUACGAGACGCUACGGCGUCGAAGCAGUCUAUGUCAUACUUCCAAGAAAAGCUUGCACUGUCAUAAACAAAUAAUGCCUGUACCAUAACCGACACAGGUGGGUAGGUAGAGUAUACUAAGGGGCGCGAGAUAACUCUCUCUAAGGAACUCGGCAGAAUGACUCCGUAACUUCGGGAGAAGGAGUGCCUUAUUUAUAAGGUUGCAAUAACAAGAUCCAAGCAACUGUUUAUCAAAAACACAGGUCUCCGCUAAGUCGUAAGACGAUGUAUGGGGGCUGACGCCUGCCCAGUGCCAGAAGGUUAAAGAAGUUGGUUAGCAUUAGCGAAGCUGAUAACUGAAGCCCUGGUGAACGGCGGCCGUAACAAUAACGGUCCUAAGGUAGCGAAAUUCCUUGUCGGGUAAGUUCCGACCCGCACGAAAGGCGUAAUGAUUUGGAUACUGUCUCGGAGAGGGGCUCGGUGAAAUAGACUUGUCUGUGAAGAUGCGGACUACCUGCACCUGGACAGAAAGACCCUAUGAAGCUUUACUGUAACCUGAAAUUGAAGUUGGACUUUAUUUGCGCAGUAUAGGUGGGAGGCGUUGAGAAUAUUCUUGCGGGAAUAUUGGAGCCAUCAGUGAGAUACCACUCUUGUAAUGUUAGAUUUCUAACUUUGAAUCAUUAUCUGGUCAAAGAACAGUUUCAGGCGGGCAGUUUGACUGGGGCGGUCGCCUCCUAAAUGGUAACGGAGGCGCACAAAGGUUUCCUCUGAACGGGUAGAAAUCGUAUCUAGAGUGUAAAGGCAUAAGGAAGCUUGACUGUGAGACCUACAAGUCGAGCAGGGACGAAAGUCGGUCUUAGUGAUCUGACGGUGCUGAGUGGAAAGGCCGUCACUCAACGGAUAAAAGUUACUCUAAGGAUAACAGGCUGAUCUCCCCCAAGAGUUCACAUCGACGGGGAGGUUUGGCACCUCGAUGUCGGCUCAUCGCAUCCUGGGGCGGUAGUACGUCCCAAGGGUUGGGCUGUUCGCCCAUGAAAGCGGUACGCGAGCUGGGUUCAGAACGUCGUGAGACAGUUCGGUCCAUAUCCGGUGUAGGCGUUAGAAUAUUGAGAGGAGCCUUCUUUAGUACGAGAGGACCGAGAAGGACAUACCUCUGGUGUACCAGUUAUCGUGCCAACGGUAAACGCUGGGUAGCUAUGUAUGGAGAGGAUAACCGCUGAAAGCAUCUAAGUGGGAAGCCCACCUCAAGAUAAG
rnacentral:rRNA from 1 species